CCUACGGGUGGCAGUAGUGGGGAAUAUUGCACAAUGGGGGAAACCCUGAUGCAGCGACGCCGCGUGAGCGAUGAAGUAUUUCGGUAUGUAAAGCUCUAUCAGCAGGGAAGAAAAUGACGGUACCUGACUAAGAAGCCCCGGCUUACUACGAGCCAGCAUCCGCGGUACUACGUAGGGGGCAAGCGGUAUCCGGAUUUACUGGGGGUAAAGGGAGCGUAGACGGGUGUGCAAGGCAGUGGGUAAAGCCCGGGGCUCAACCCCGGGACUGCAGUUGGAACUGUGUGGCUGGAGUGGCGGAGAGGCAGGCGGAAUUCGUAGUGUAGCGGUGAAAUGCGUAGAUAUUAGGAGGAACACCAGUGGCGAAGGCGGCCUGCUGGACGAUGACUGACGUUGAGGCUCGAAAGUGUGGGUAUCAAACAGGAUUAGAUACCCCUGUAGUC
rnacentral:rRNA from 1 species